UUUCUUCUCUGCCUCUCUCUCUCUCUCUCUCUCUUUGUUUUUUUAAAUGAACAAUAUAAACUGGAAUUUAUAUAUGAUAGAGAGAGAAUAAGCAAGUGAGAGAGAGAGAGAGAGAGAAGAA
rnacentral:precursor_RNA from 1 species